UCAGGUCUCUACAUGGUUCUUCACAACAUUCAGUGUAUCAAGCCUUAAAGAGAAAGUCCAUCACAUAGAGAACCUCCAGCAGCUCUUCACCUGCAUCCUGCCUGAGCAGAUCGACAUCCCUCCUUUCGUCCUGGAGUAUGACACACGGGUUAACAGCCCUUAUUACACGGCUCAGUCCUCAGGCCUGUGAUGGUGUCAGAUAAACCCAGAGCUGAGGAGUUUGACAGGACCUGACACUUUUCACUGGGCAAACACUCAACCCAAUGACCCCGACUCUGAUGUGAACAAGAUGAACACAGACAAAAGUGCAUCUUUGGCAUUCCUGACGAGCAAGUUUUCUCUGUGAUGGUGAGAGACUCUUGAUCAAUAAUGCUGUAUAAGCACAUCCUGCUGAACGUGCUGUCACCAAAGGAACCGCCUGCCUGACCCAAGCUGUUUUUGGACAAGGUAUGUUUGUGUGGUGUGUGGAUGAAGAGACUGAAUUUGAUAAACAUACUAAACCAAUGUUUUGUACCAAUGUGAAACACAUGUACCAGUGUCUGCAUGAAUAAUGGCUGGAAAUAGCCGAAACAAUUCUGGUUUGAAUUUCUUAUGUCCUUGUCCAUCCAAUCAUCUGAAAGCCUCAUAUUUUGCUGUUUUGUAGUUUCAUCUAAUUUUGUCUGCAAAGUGCUUUUAUCUUGAUUCUCUUUUUUUUUUUUAGUCACCAAGCACUUUUACAGCUUUAUCUGAGGUGUUAAACAACCAUCACUACAGUUUUUUGAGGUUUGACAGGAAGCAACUUUUCCUCAUGUGUGAGCGAUGUGAUGUUGGAAAGAUUGCUUUGUAAAGCUCUAAUAUCAGGUUGGCCUGUUGAGAUUUCCAUUAGCCUAAUAAUAAUACUCCUUUCUUCUGUUCCUUUAAGUGUGGUACACUGAGGUACACUAAAAUCUUCCAGUGCACCUGUUUGUGUUUCGUUUUAAGCAGAUUUACAAGCUUGGCCAAAGGAAUAUCACAGACAGGUCUGAUCUCAAAGUGAAGCACUGUAAAUAGGUCAUUGUAGAUACUGCAGAUGCUGGCUGGUAUUAUUAAUUCAGUUUUUUUUUAGUCUGCCCUUACUGUUGCCAUGCAGUGAUUCAUGUGCUAAAUUUCAUACCAUUUUAAAUGAAGAAUGACGUAUGAAUUAUGAUGAUGAAAGUAAUAUUUGAAUAAACAGAAUAUAAACA